UGGCGGCGUGCUUAACACAUGCAAGUCGAACGCGAAAGGGACUUCGGUCCUGAGUAAAGUGGCGCACGGGUGAGUAACGCGUAGAUAACCUGUCUUCAUGUCUGGAAUAAUACGCCGAAAGGGGUACUAAUACCGGAUAUUCUUGCUUUUCAUAAGUUAUGCAAGCAAAGGUGGCCUCUGCAUAUGCUACUGCAUGAAGAGGGGUCUGCGUACCAUUAGCUAGUAGGUGGGGUAAUGGCCUACCUAGGCGACGAUGGUUAGCGGGUCUGAGAGGAUGAUCCGCCACACUGGCACUGGAACACGGGCCAGACUCCUACGGGAGGCAGCAGUGAGGAAUAUUGCGCAAUGGGGGAAACCCUGACGCAGCGACGCCGCGUGAGUGAGGAAAGGCCUUCGGGUCGUAAAGCUCUGUCAAGAGGAAAGAAGUGUACAAUGGCUAAUACCUGUUGUAUUUGACGGUACCUCUAAAGGAAGCACCGGCUAACUCCGUGCCAGCAGCUGC
rnacentral:rRNA from 1 species